UGUGUGUGAUGCACACAUGUGUAUAUGUGCGUGUGCUUGCAUGUGUGUCUAUUGAAUCAGCACCAUUGUGAUCAGCGAAGCUUGUGUACUUGUGAGUGUGUGUG